UUAAGCGACUAAGCGUACACGGUGGAUGCCCUGGCAGUCAGAGGCGAUGAAGGACGUGCUAAUCUGCGAUAAGCGUCGGUAAGGUGAUAUGAACCGUUAUAACCGGCGAUUUCCGAAUGGGGAAACCCAGUGUGAUUCGUCACACUAUCAUUAACUGAAUCCAUAGGUUAAUGAGGCGAACCGGGGGAACUGAAACAUCUAAGUACCCCGAGGAAAAGAAAUCAACCGAGAUUCCCCCAGUAGCGGCGAGCGAACGGGGAGCAGCCCAGAGCCUGAAUCAGUGUGUGUGUUAGUGGAAGCGUCUGGAAAGGCGCGCGAUACAGGGUGACAGCCCCGUACACAAAAAUGCACAUGCUGUGAGCUCGAUGAGUAGGGCGGGACACGUGGUAUCCUGUCUGAAUAUGGGGGGACCAUCCUCCAAGGCUAAAUACUCCUGACUGACCGAUAGUGAACCAGUACCGUGAGGGAAAGGCGAAAAGAACCCCGGCGAGGGGAGUGAAAAAGAACCUGAAACCGUGUACGUACAAGCAGUGGGAGCACGCUUAGGCGUGUGACUGCGUACCUUUUGUAUAAUGGGUCAGCGACUUAUAUUCUGUAGCAAGGUUAACCGAAUAGGGGAGCCGAAGGGAAACCGAGUCUUAACUGGGCGUUAAGUUGCAGGGUAUAGACCCGAAACCCGGUGAUCUAGCCAUGGGCAGGUUGAAGGUUGGGUAACACUAACUGGAGGACCGAACCGACUAAUGUUGAAAAAUUAGCGGAUGACUUGUGGCUGGGGGUGAAAGGCCAAUCAAACCGGGAGAUAGCUGGUUCUCCCCGAAAGCUAUUUAGGUAGCGCCUCGUGAAUUCAUCUCCGGGGGUAGAGCACUGUUUCGGCAAGGGGGUCAUCCCGACUUACCAACCCGAUGCAAACUGCGAAUACCGGAGAAUGUUAUCACGGGAGACACACGGCGGGUGCUAACGUCCGUCGUGAAGAGGGAAACAACCCAGACCGCCAGCUAAGGUCCCAAAGUCAUGGUUAAGUGGGAAACGAUGUGGGAAGGCCCAGACAGCCAGGAUGUUGGCUUAGAAGCAGCCAUCAUUUAAAGAAAGCGUAAUAGCUCACUGGUCGAGUCGGCCUGCGCGGAAGAUGUAACGGGGCUAAACCAUGCACCGAAGCUGCGGCAGCGACGCUGAUGCGUUGUUGGGUAGGGGAGCGUUCUGUAAGCCUGUGAAGGUGUGCUGUGAGGCAUGCUGGAGGUAUCAGAAGUGCGAAUGCUGACAUAAGUAACGAUAAAGCGGGUGAAAAGCCCGCUCGCCGGAAGACCAAGGGUUCCUGUCCAACGUUAAUCGGGGCAGGGUGAGUCGACCCCUAAGGCGAGGCCGAAAGGCGUAGUCGAUGGGAAACAGGUUAAUAUUCCUGUACUUGGUGUUACUGCGAAGGGGGGACGGAGAAGGCUAUGUUGGCCGGGCGACGGUUGUCCCGGUUUAAGCGUGUAGGCUGGUUUUCCAGGCAAAUCCGGAAAAUCAAGGCUGAGGCGUGAUGACGAAGCACUACGGUGCUGAAGCAACAAAUGCCCUGCUUCCAGGAAAAGCCUCUAAGCAUCAGGUAACAUCAAAUCGUACCCCAAACCGACACAGGUGGUCAGGUAGAGAAUACCAAGGCGCUUGAGAGAACUCGGGUGAAGGAACUAGGCAAAAUGGUGCCGUAACUUCGGGAGAAGGCACGCUGAUAUGUAGGUGAAGUCCCUUGCGGAUGGAGCUGAAAUCAGUCGAAGAUACCAGCUGGCUGCAACUGUUUAUUAAAAACACAGCACUGUGCAAACACGAAAGUGGACGUAUACGGUGUGACGCCUGCCCGGUGCCGGAAGGUUAAUUGAUGGGGUCAGCGCAAGCGAAGCUCUUGAUCGAAGCCCCGGUAAACGGCGGCCGUAACUAUAACGGUCCUAAGGUAGCGAAAUUCCUUGUCGGGUAAGUUCCGACCUGCACGAAUGGCGUAAUGAUGGCCAGGCUGUCUCCACCCGAGACUCAGUGAAAUUGAACUCGCUGUGAAGAUGCAGUGUACCCGCGGCAAGACGGAAAGACCCCGUGAACCUUUACUAUAGCUUGACACUGAACAUUGAGCCUUGAUGUGUAG
rnacentral:rRNA from 1 species